UGCCUGUGAUUACUUUGUAGAGCUUGAAUCAAACAAACUACAUUAAUAUUUUAAGAUAUGCAAAACAUGGACACAUAUUUAUUAGAUAGUAUAAAUAAUUACAUGCUUAUAGGAGGAACUAGUGCACAACUUACUGUGGAAAUGCAAACCUGAAGAGUUGUGAUAAAUGAGCAGUUGACAGAGGUUUUUCUUCUUCACUGCUGAAAUAUUGAGGAUAUUCUUGCUGUGUUGGUCUCUCAGAAUGGGAGAUUAACAGCCGAAGCCUGACCAUAUCAACUUGGAACAGCAACAUCAUUUCUUUGAUUCCAGCUCCAGUUCAAGUUGCCUGAGACAUUUCAUUAUUCAGCUUGUGUUGGAUAUUUGUCAUGUUUUCUCGAUGUACCAUUUAUCUUCAGAGUGCAUAAUGAGUUCUGCAAGGAAGGAAUGUCUGUGAAGUCCAGGAGGUCUCUCAUCCUACUAGCACCAGAGGAAACAGUUGUGAGAAAAAGAGUGGAAUUUCUUGUUCAUAUCAAGUGCCCUUUGAAUUAUGUUUAACUUCCUGCAUCCUAUUGGCUCCAGGAUACAGAUUUUCAAACAGAGCUUGAUUAAUCAUC